rnacentral:rRNA from 1 species
GAUGAACGCUGGCGGCGUGCUUAACACAUGCAAGUCGAGSGAAGCACUAAAGCGGAUUUCUUCGGAUUGAAGGUUUAGUGAYUGAGCGGCGGACGGGUGAGUAACGCGUGGGUAACCUSCCUCAUACAGGGGGAUAACAGUUGGAAACGGCUGMUAAUWCCGCAUAAGCGCACAGUACCGCAUGGUACGGUGUGAAAAACUCCGGUGGUAUGAGAUGGACCCGCGUCUGAUUAGGUAGUUGGUGGGGUAACGGCCUACCAAGCCGACGAUCAGUAGCCGACCUGAGAGGGUGACCGGCCACAUUGGGACUGAGACACGGCCCAAACUCCUACGGGAGGCAGCAGUGGGGAAUAUUGCACAAUGGGGGAAACCCKGAKGCAGCGACGCCGCGUGAGCGAAGAAGUAUUUCGGUA